AUCCUGGCUCAGGAUGAACGCUGGCGGCGUGCCUAAUACAUGCAAGUCGAGCGAACAGAUAAGGAGCUUGCUCCUUUGACGUUAGCGGCGGACGGGUGAGUAACACGUGGGUAACCUACCUAUAAGACUGGAAUAACUCCGGGAAACCGGGGCUAAUGCCGGAUAACAUGUUGAACCGCAUGGUUCUACAGUGAAAGACGGUCUUGCUGUCACUUAUAGAUGGACCCGCGCCGUAUUAGCUAGUUGGUGGGGUAACGGCCUACCAAGGCGACGAUACGUAGCCGACCUGAGAGGGUGAUCGGCCACACUGGAACUGAGACACGGUCCAGACUCCUACGGGAGGCAGCAGUAGGGAAUCUUCCGCAAUGGGCGAAAGCCUGACGGAGCAACGCCGCGUGAGUGAUGAAGGUCUUCGGAUCGUAAAGCUCUGUUGUUAGGGAAGAACAAAUGUGUAAGUAACUGUGCACAUCUUGACGGUACCUAACCAGAAAGCCACGGCUAACUACGUGCCAGCAGCCGCGGUAAUACGUAGGUGGCAA
rnacentral:rRNA from 1 species